GUUUAGAGGUUUAGUCCAUCAUGGUGGGAAGCAUGGCAGUAUGCAGGCAGACAUGGUGCUGAAGAAGGAGCUGAGUUCUCCAUCUUGAUAUAAAGGCAGCGGAAGGAGACUUUCACACUGGCCAUAGCUUGAUCAUAGGAGACCCCUAGGCCCGCCCCCAUAGUGACACACUUCCUCCAUCAAGGCCACACUUCCUAAUAGUGCCACUUGAUAUGGGCCAAGUAUUCAAACACAUGAGUCUAUGGGGGCCACUGCUAUUCAGACCCCAAUAGGGAGGGAAUUACUUUGUGAAACCCAAGGAGCUCUGGCCCUAGAGACUUACUUUGUUGCUCAUCAGCUGCCAGGUCUCCACUCUCAAGCACUGUGUUCCUUCUUAAGCCAGGUCCACAUCUUGCUCGCUGUUGUUCCUUCUACUUGCAAAACAACUACAACAAAACCUCUCUGGAAUGUGAGUAGCCCCGAGCUUGUCAUCCUCCCGUCUUUCCACUCAGUGGUGCCGACCAGCCUCUCUUCUCCUGUGCACCCAGUGUUUCGUCCACUUCCAGCGUGAAAUGGAUGAAACCGAGCUACUACCCCACAUCCCUUAGCCACUCCCUCGAACUCCUCCCAGUGCCUGUUCAGGAGUGCCCCAAAAGUCUACCAAGGAGCCAAUUCCGAUGCAAUCACACUAGGGUCUUUUUAUUUAAGUUUGAGCUUGGGCUCCCGCUGACAGGAGCCCAGUUUCAAGCAAGCAUUUAUAGAGGACAAGCAAGACUGGGGAGAUGCAAUGUGGCAUUAAAAAGUUGUCACCUGUGAUCCCAGCAUUCCGGAUCCUGAGUUCCAGGCCACUCUGAACGACAUAGUGAGACCCUUUCUCAAAAAACACCCGAUCCAACCAAUCAACGUCGAAGGCAAUCCAGCCCCUGCACUGCCCAUCGGAACACCCCUUAUUUGAUUAAGUAACUACUUCUAUUUCAAACAGCGGAGGGGAGAGCAGGAGGUAGAGAAUUCACCAAGAGUCUCUGAGACUCUUGAUGAAUGGUGCGUGCAUGCAGAAAGGAUUAAUGUGGAAUUAGCAUUUCCUGUCAUCAGACUCCCUGGUUAGGCAUCAACCGUCAAGGUCUAAGGGAAGAGGGGCAAAAUGGACUGUGAGCAGAAGCUGCCAGGUUUUUAGUAAGAGGACAGGCAGGCUCUGAGCUACCUGGGGUUACGGCCUGGAAUGUGGGUCUCAAAGCGACUACUGAUCACAAGAGUAAGUCCCGUGGCUUGAGGGAAGAAUGGCAACACGGUUUAAUUGAUUCAAGGAUUAGUGCUUUUGCCACUGGUGCUGAUGCCAGUGGACUCCAGAACACUGGAGGAGCUUUGGCCCAAUUAGGAAGUCAGCUGGAGCCUCCUCCCUGUGCAGGCAGCCGUGUUACCUGCUGUCUGAUGUUUUGCCAAUGCGCUUCAAUGCAAUCACUCCGCGGCGCUGGGAUGAUGUUUCAAUUUAGCCUGCUGCUCAGUCAGGACUCUUAAGAGCCUCAUUGUCCCGGAGUGGGCUUCCUGCCUGUUCCCUCGCUCUUCCUGCCUCUCCUCUCUUGGACACAGCUGUGACGUUGCUCACUGGCCAAGUGAGUUGUCAGUGUCCCUGGGCUGUGGGUUGGCAGGGUUCCACUUUCAGAGGAGCACUGGCCAGCUAGCAGGGGGAGGAUUGCAGGCUCUAGAAAUGCAAGUCUUGUUAUGUGGACUUCCAGAGUUCUCUGCAUUGAGGGUGGCCGGCGUUCCACAGUUGUUAUCAGAGAACGUUACAGCUUAGAAUCUUGUCUUGGACAUGUGGACAGGCAGAAAAUUCAGCCAGGGUUAGUGCUGAAGGAUGGGAGUUGGUGAGAGAGAAUUUAGGAGUUGUGUUAUGGUUUGUAUAUACUUGGCUCAGAAACUGGUACUUGGCUCAGAAGGUGUGGCUCUGUUGCAGUAGGUGUGUCACUGUAGGCGUGAGCUUUAAGACCCUCAUCCUAGCUGCUUGGAAGUGAGUCUUCCACCAGCAGCCUUCAGAUGAAGAUGUAGAACUCUCAGCUCCUCCUGCACCAUGCCUGCCUGGAUGCUGCCAUGCUCCCGCUUUGAUGAUAAUGAACUGAACCUCUGAACCUGUAAGCCAGCCCCAAUUAAAUAUUGAC